rnacentral:rRNA from 1 species
UACGUAGGGUGCAAGCGUUGUCCGGAAUUAUUGGGCGUAAAGAGCUCGUAGGCGGUCUGUCGCGUCUGCUGUGAAAACUCAGGGCUUAACCCUGAGCUUGCAGUGGGUACGGGCAGACUAGAGUGCGGUAGGGGAGACUGGAAUUCCUGGUGUAGCGGUGAAAUGCGCAGAUAUCAGGAGGAACACCGGUGGCGAAGGCGGGUCUCUGGGCCGAUACUGACGCUGAGGGGCGAAAGCGUGGGGAGCGAACAGG